rnacentral:rRNA from 1 species
CGGGAUGCCCGCUGAUGCGAUUUCGGUCAAUCAUGUGGCAUUCGAGUGGCGGACGGGUGAGUAACGCGUGGGUAACCUGCCUUACACAGGGGGAUAACACCUGGAAACAGGUGCUAAUACCGCAUAAGCGCACAGGGCCGCAUGGCCCGGUGUGAAAAACUCCGGUGGUGUAAGAUGGACCCGCGUCUGAUUAGCUUGUUGGCGGGGUAGGGGCCCACCAAGGCGACGAUCAGUAGCCGGCCUGAGAGGGUGGACGGCCACAUUGGGACUGAGACACGGCCCAAACUCCUACGGGAGGCAGCAGUGGGGGAUAUUGGACAAUGGGGGAAACCCUGAUCCAGCGACGCCGCGUGAGUGAAGAAGUAUUUCGGUAUGUAAAGCUCUGUCAGCAGGGAAGAAAGAAAUGACGGUACCUGACCAAGAAGCCCCGGCUAACUACGUGCCAGCAGCCGCGGUAAUACGUAGGGGGCAAGCGUUAUCCGGAAUUACUGGGUGUAAAGGGAGCGUAGACGGUGAUGCAAGUCUGGAGUGAAAGGCGGGGGCCCAACCCCCGGACUGCUCUGGAAACUGUGUAACUUGAGUGCAGGAGAGGUAAGCGGAAUUCCUAGUGUAGCGGUGAAAUGCGUAGAUAUUAGGAGGAACACCAGUGGCGAAGGCGGCUUACUGGACUGUAACUGACGUUGAGGCUCGAAAGCGUGGGGAGCAAACAGGAUUAGAUACCCUGGUAGUCCACGCCGUAAACGAUGAU